GACGAACGCUGGCGGCGUGCUUAACACAUGCAAGUCGAACGAAGAGCGAUGGAAGCUUGCUUCUAUCAAUCUUAGUGGCGAACGGGUGAGUAACGCGUAAUCAACCUGCCCUUCAGAGGGGGACAACAGUUGGAAACGACUGCUAAUACCGCAUACGAUCUAAUCUCGGCAUCGAGGAUAGAUGAAAGGUGGCCUCUACAUGUAAGCUAUCACUGAAGGAGGGGAUUGCGUCUGAUUAGCUAGUUGGAGGGGUAACGGCCCACCAAGGCGAUGAUCAGUAGCCGGUCUGGGAGGAUGAACGGCCACAUUGGGACUGAGACACGGCCCAGACUCCUACGGGAGGCAGCAGUGGGGAAUCUUCCGCAAUGGACGAAAGUCUGACGGAGCAACGCCGCGUGAGUGAUGACGGCCUUCGGGUUGUAAAGCUCUGUUAAUCGGGACGAAAGGCCUUCUUGCGAAUAGUGAGAAGGAUUGACGGUACCGGAAGAGAAAGCCACGGCUAACUACGUG
rnacentral:rRNA from 1 species